GUCUACGGCCAUGCCACCCUGAAAAAGCCUGAUCCCAUCUGAUCUCAGAAGCUAAGCAGGGUUGGGCCUGGUUAGUACUUGGAUGGAAGACCACCUAGGAAGACCAGGUGUUGUAGGCG
rnacentral:rRNA from 1 species